rnacentral:lncRNA from 1 species
GAUCUUCGGUUGUCUUUUCUUAUUAUCGCUCGAUAAAUUUCUCUUAUCAUUGGCUUUCGGCUGCUUUCUCUUGGAGCACUGACUUUCUUUUAUAUGAUGUUUUUAUCCAUAUAGAUCAUCUUUCGACUGCCUUCUCUUUGAGCAUCAGUUUUAUAUGAUCGUCACUCUCUAUGUCUUCUCAUAGUCAUGUUAUCUAAAUCAGCCACACCAGC